GACGGCGUAGCGCAGUUGGCAGAGCAUUGGGCUAGUAUUCCAAAGGUCGUAGGUUCGAUUCCCACCGUGGCCA